UACGGAGGGAGCUAGCGUUGUUCGGAAUUACUGGGCGUAAAGCGCGCGUAGGCGGCUUUGUAAGUUAGAGGUGAAAGCCCGGGGCUCAACCCCGGAACUGCCUUUAAGACUGCAUCGCUUGAAUCCGGGAGAGGUGAGUGGAGUUCCGAGUGUAGAGGUGAAAUUCGUAGAUAUUCGGAAGAACACCAGUGGCGAAGGCGGCUCACUGGACCGGCAUUGACGCUGAGGUGCGAAAGCGUGGGGAGCAAACAGG
rnacentral:rRNA from 1 species